rnacentral:tRNA from 5 species
GGGAGGAUGGCCGAGUGGACUAAGGCGGUUGUCUUGAAAACAACUGUAGCCGAGAGGCUGCCGGGGGUUCGAAUCCCUCUCCUCCCG